GUUUACACAUAAUUCCUUAAGGAAUCUACACUUGAAAGUGAUGUGUCUAGUAGUCCUGCCAGCUCCCCAUUUGAGGACAGUGGGCCCAUCACUUCAACUCCGGAUAGUCGGUGUGAUCCUAGAGGAAUUCCCGGAUGGGAGGCAGUCAAUGCCUUGGCAGCGUAUCUUGUCAGCCUCAAUCGGACAAUAACAGCUCUCUCAAACUCUGAGAUAGCAGAGAUAUUGAGACUGUACUCUUGCCUGGAUCCCAUUGACAAGUCCCCAACCAAAUACUCCUUGAAAAGCAAGAAAAAUACCUUGUCAGGACCAUGGAGAGCUUCUCAGAAGCGCAGUGGCUCUGUUCCAGGCCAGCAAGCAGCUGAGAGAUUGUUCAUGGUUCAUGGCCAGGCUGCCCACAGUCCUGAUAUUAACAGGAUUUCUGAGUGUGUCGCACUCAGACUCUACAAAGAGUUCCAGGAAGCCAGAAAUAGGCCUAGGACAACGAAGGGAAAACAUUUGCAAUACCUCAGUCAAUUGUCAUGACUUACGGUCAUAUCAAACAGUUAAUAGAGGACUGCAAAGACAUACUGGACAACACCAACCUUUUACUAGUGACCAUAAACAACACCACAGUGUCCUCCUGGCUGCAGGAUCGGUAGAAGAGAACCGACCGCGAUUCGUUACUGCAAGGGGUGCAGCUUCCUCAGCAGGUCCAUUUGGCAGAGGAAUCCCUCCUGGAGGCCUGGGACCUACCAUCCAAGCCUGUUCAACGCGGUAAUACAGUUAUGAAGUUCCAGGAACCAGAAAAACAUGAGGGUGAAGAAGUGAUUCGUUAACGUCGCUGUGCCAAAGCAGUGUUUCCCACUGUGCACACAGACACUGGAGCUGGUGCCAGCUCAACCAAUGCAAAUCAGGACUGGCCUAGAGCACAGCAUUGGCCUGGGGAUGCUGUCUUCCCUGCUUCGUCGGACCUUGCCUACUGCCAGCAGGGUCAACACUUAGCUCCAGCGUCUCACUCUCAGGGCUGGUCCCCUUACCUGCCAUCACCAUCACCAGCUCCAGCGUCUCACUUUCAGGGCUGGUCCCCUUACCUGCCAUCACCAUCACCGUCAACAGCUCCAGCGUCACACUCUCAGGGCUGGAACACUUACCAGUUGCCACCAGUGCCAGCGUCCCACUCCCAGGGUGGCCAUCCUGAUCAACCGCCACCAGCUCCAACACCUCAACCUCAGGGCGGGAUUCCUUACCAGCCAGCCCGAGCACCACUAGCUUCUCUCAAUCGGUUCCGAGAAUGCAGAUUGCGAAAGGCAACCCUGUAGGAUAAAGAGCGAGAGAGGAGAGCAGUCCCUUUUGCCCCAUCUUAGGCCGAGUGGUUAAGGCGAUGAAGUGCUAAUCCAUUGUGCUC